GUUUGGUAAAAAGUAAGUUUAAUCAUUCAAAAUUUAUGGUUAUCAUUAUCCUUUUUCAUUUUCACAACCAUAGCUCUGAAAAACAUAGAGAAAGAGAGGAAAAACGUUCCUUGUCCGGAGUAAAGAGAUUCCAAGGAGUUCUUAGUGAAAAUCAAACCGAGGAAGUGAAUUAAACUUAAUUUUGGUCUUUUAACAGUCAGCAAAGUGAUGUGUAAUGGGACCAGUGAACUGAAGCCUAGUGCCGAUUUUGGUUGUACAUAUGAAUAAAUAAAGGUUGUGUGGGAGUGGCUUAUGUUUGUGUAUUAACGACUUGUGGAAUUAUGCUUGUUUGUCUUAUGUACGAUAAAUAAAAUUAUGAGACUCAUGCAUUAAGUAUUAGAGACGCUCAAUAUGUAAAAUAAAUAAAGUUGAAAAACUAUUUUAUUAUA